rnacentral:rRNA from 1 species
UACAGAGGGUGCGAGCGUUGUUCGGAAUUAUUGGGCGUAAAGCGCUUGUAGGCGGCACGUCAAGUCGCGUGUGAAAUCCCCAGGCUUAACCUGGGAAGUGCGCGCGAAACUGACGAGCUUGAGUGCCGGAGAGGGUCGCAGAAUUCCCGGUGUAGAGGUGAAAUUCGUAGAUAUCGGGAGGAACACCAGUGGCGAAGGCGGCGACCUGGACGGACACUGACGCUGAGACGCGAAAGCGUGGGGAGCAAACAGG